UGGCGGCAGGCUUAACACAUGCGAGUCGAGCGGUAGCAGAUCUAGCUUGCUAGAUGCUGACGAGCGGCGGACGGGUGAGUAACGCGUAGGAACCUGCCCAGUAGUGGGGGAUAGCCCGGGGGAAACUCGGAUUAAUACCGCAUACGCUCUACGGAGGAAAGAGGGGGCUUCGGCUCUCGCUAUUGGAUGGGCCUGCGUGAGAUUAGCUAGUUGGUGAGGUAAUGGCUCACCAAGGCGACGAUCUCUAGCUGGUCUGAGAGGAUGAUCAGCCACACUGGGACUGAGACACGGCCCAGACUCCUACGGGAGGCAGCAGUGGGGAAUAUUGCACAAUGGGCGCAAGCCUGAUGCAGCCAUGCCGCGUGUGUGAAGAAGGCUUUCGGGUUGUAAAGCACUUUCAGUGGGGAGGAAGGCCUCGUAGUUAAUAGCUGCGAGGAUUGACGUUACCCACAGAAGAAGCACCGGCUAACUCCGUG
rnacentral:rRNA from 1 species